UCGUUGCCUCUCGAAAAACACGACCGUCGCACGCGUGACAGAAUGCUGCCGGGGCGGCGCCCGCCGCCUCCCCGGCCCCACCGGCCUCGRCCCCCUCGCCCUCCGGGCGCGUCGGUCGCYGGCCGGAACACGGCGCGGAUGACGCCAAGGAACACGAGAAAGCKGAGGCACCGGCGAGCCGCUCGCCGGCUGCCGACGCCAACSAAUAAGAAAAUAUGACUCUCGGCAACGGAUAUCUCGGCUCUCGCAUCGAUGAAGAACGUAGCGAAAUGCGAUACGUGGUGUGAAUUGCAGAAUCCCGUGAACCAUCGAGUCUUUGAACGCAAGUUGCGCCCGAGGGACCCUCCCGAGGGCACGCCUGCCUCAUGGGCGUUAGAAGCCCAUCCACGCUCGGCUGCCUCACGGCAGAGAUGCGGACAUUGGCCCUCCGAGCCGCGAGGCGCGGUGGGCCYAAGUGUGCGGCCGUCGUACGUGGCCGGGAGCGGCGAGUGGUGGGCUACUGCGCACGCCACCCCGAGCCCCGCACCGACACAGGGCCUUGUCCGACCCCCUAACGAGGAGCACGCCGCAGCGGCUCGCGCCGCGCGGCGCCUUCGGACC
rnacentral:rRNA from 1 species